UCCGGAGGCUCGAGGGGGCUCUGGGACCGAGCGGCCUCGCAGCGGCGACAGAAAUACAUAUUUUACGAAAAAGAAAAAAAAAAAAACGAGUCGCGCGAACCCGUCAAGUCAGAUGUGCGCGGCUUGAAGCGGAGGAGGCUCUGACGUCAGCCCCACCUCGCGCAGCCCGGCCUGGCCGCAGACUCGCCGGUCACUCGCCGGCGGCUCAGGCCGGGAGGGGCCAGGACAGUCCCGGCCGCGCGGUGGACGGAGGGGCCAUUCCUCCGGGCGUUAGCAAAUAAAUUCCAUCCGAGUCAAUAUCGCCCAGCGAACGGUGUUUCUCUUUAGUCACCCGAGAACGAGAGGCACUUUUAAUUAGAAAUUAAUUAAUGAGCAGCUGCUCCUUCCCGCCCCACUGUAAUCAUUCGUCUCAAUUACAAAUGAGACCUAUGAAAGGACACGCUGAAGAUGUAAUCAACAGUUAAAAUUAGCCCGGCGCUGCGCAGGCGGCCGGCCCGGCCUCGCGCUGGCGCGCUCUGCUCCGAGUGGCAGGAAGGGGCUCGCAGGCGCCCCGCACGCGUCUCGUCACUAUUGUUUAAUCGAGAAUCAGCAACGCCUCCCGCCGGUUUCCACCCUACGCCGGAAUGGACUUUCAGAACCCACUGCGGCCGCAAGACAGCCCGCAAGAGCUGGUCAAAAUGCCCUCAGCUCGGUUGAAGGUGAUUGAUGACUAUCUGGAGACCACAGUACACAUCAUAUAAUAUCUGCUGCGUAAUUGCUUUAAUUUACAGAUGAAAAUACGAGUUCUCCGAUCGCGUUGGACCGGAGCGGGCCACGUCCGAGCUGCUUGCAGAGGGAAACCAUCGGAAAUAAUGAAUAGCCGCUCCAUGCAAAUUAUUCAGACAGUUUAGCGUCGGUAGCCGCGAGAAAUAUAUAAAGAACACGAGUCAAAUGACAUUAAUAAUUGUUUCUGAAUUCUGUAUUGAUUUCGCGGCAGGCCGCGUUUCUUUCUUUCUCACCUGAAUCGCUAAUAUCACCUUCCUGUAAAUAAUAAGAAACUAG
rnacentral:lncRNA from 1 species